AUGAACGAGGCCGGCUCUUCCUCACCCCGCUGCUCCCGCGACCGAGCGGGAGGGGGCCGCAGGCGGCGGCGGCUCCUUUCUCGGCGGCGUUGGUGGCCAGACGGGCUGGUGCAGCGACUGCAGCCGACGCCGUUCAAAGGAACGAGAGGAAAAGGACUGAAGAAAACAGACAGUGAGACUGAUCCAAAAACUCCCAUGUAUAUACAAACACAUGAAAAAUGUCACCAAAAUGUUCAUGGCAGUUACGUUACAGUUGCAUCAGGGAUGGGCUUUCAGUGCAUGACAUCUACAAGUGUACAAGAUGGUACUGGAUCCAGUGAGGAAGACAAAAAGUCUGGCAGGAAUGUGAGAGAGACUGGGAAGAAUUGGCUCAAUAUGAUGAUGGAGUUCAGAGAGCUAAAUGAAGUUCUGAGAAGUCACUGUUUAAAAUGGCUUAGCCAUGUGGAGGUGAGAAACCCCAAGGAUGUUCCAGUUAUCUUUUGUUGCAUUACAAACCAUCCUGAAAUUUAGUGGCAUAAAAUAACAAACAUUUUAUUGCACUCAUGAUUUGGGCAGUCAGGAACUUGGGUGCGGCACAGCAGAAAUGGCUGGCUUAUCUCUUCUCCAUGAUAUCUGGGUCCUCCACUAGCGUGGCCUGAAUGGUUGGAGAUGACUGAGAUAUCUUUACUGGGGCCAUAUGUCUGAAACCUCCUUUCUUCUUUUGGGGAUAUCUGAUGGGCCUAAGAAGUCUAAGUUGUCUCUUUCACUCAGGUAUAGUGCCUGGGCUGGGAUGGCUGGAAUGGUUGAGGGCUGGCCGGCCUCACUCUGUCUCUCUCUGUCUACAAAGGUGGUUUCAUGGUGGCCAUAGUUCUUACAUGGUAGGUGGUUUCCCCCAGAGCGCAAGAGAAUCCCAACAGACAGCAUGCCCAUGGGUGUUAGGAGAAGCUGCAAGGCUUCUUAUGACUGUGUCAAAAGUCAUGGUGUCACUUCCGCCAUCUUUAUUGGUCCAUGAAGUCACCAAGACUAUUCCAGAUUCAGGAGGAGGAUAGGAACAGAUUGAUCUCUUUCUUGAUAUAAAAAAUACUAUGAGCACACAUGAAGAAAAAGAAUUUAUUGUGGCCAUCUUGAAAACAAGCAACCAGGCCGGGUGUGGGGGCUCACGCCUGUAAUCCCAGCACUUUGGGAGGCUGAGGCGGGUGGAUCACGAGGUCAGGAGAUCGAGACCAUCCUGGCUCACACGGUGAAACCCCGUCUCUACUAAAAAUACAAAAAAAACCUAGCAGGGCGAGGUGGUGGGCGCCUGUAGUCCCAGCUACUCAGGAGGCUGAGGCAGGAGAAUGGUGUGAACCCGGGAGGCAGAGCUUGCAAUGAGCUGAGAUCACACCACUGCACUCCAGCCUGGGCGACAGAGGAGACUCCGUCUCAAAAAAACAAAAACGAAAACAGAACAAAAAAAAAAAAAAAACAAGCAACCAAACUGGUGCUGAUAGGAAUUAUCCAGAAAGGUAAGAGUGGAUUUUGGGGAUUGAUCCAGAGGGAAUGAGGAGUCUAGACUCUAAAAAAUGGCGAGAUUGGAUACAAUAUACACUACUUGGGUGACAAGUACACUGGAAGCCCAGACAUCACCACCGUACAAUUCAUCCAUGUGCAACCCGGAACCACUUGUACCCUUAUAGCUAUUGACAUUUAAAGAAAAUUUUUUCUUAGUGGCAAGAAUUUUAAAUGUAGGAAAGCUGAGAGAGGCUGGUAAAUAAGGGGCUUGAACGUUGUGGUUUGGAUAUGGUGAUAUGGUGUGUUUGUUUCCACCAAAGCUUGUGUUGAAACCUGAUCCCCAAGGUAGCAGUGUUGGGAGGUGAGGCUUAGUGGGAGGGGUUUGGGCCAUGGGGGUGGAGUGGUCAUGAAUGACUUGGUGGUGAGUUCUCCAUCUUACAGGGCAGGGUUAGUUAUAAGGCAAUGGAUUAGUUUCUAAGAGAGUGAGUUGUUAUAAAGCCAGGAUGCCACUCGGGUUUGGUCUCUCUUUUCUCGUGCCCACUUCCCCUUUGACCUUCUCUACCAUGUUUCCUUUUUUUUUUUUUUAAACGACGUUUCCCUCUGUCAUCCAGGCUGGAGUGCAGUGGUGCGAUCUUGGCUCACUGUAAGCUCCAAUUCCUGGGUUCAAGCAAUUCUCCUGCCUCAGCCUUCCGAGUAGCUGGGAUUACAGGCACCCGCCACUACGCUCAGCUAAUUUUUUGUAUUUUUAGUAGAAACAGGGUUUCACCAUGUUGGCCAGGUUGGUCUCAAACUCCUCGCCUCGUGAUUCGCCCGCCUUGGCCUCCCAAAGUGCUGGGAUUACAGACAUGAGCCACUGCACCCAGCCCCCUCUAUCAUGUUUCGAUGCAGCACAAAAGCCCUCACCAACAGCUAAGCAGACGUUGGGGCUAUGCUUCUUGUACAGCUUGCAGAACCGUAAACUAAAUAAACCUUUUUAAAAUAAACUACCCAGACUCAGGUAUUCCUUUAUAGAAACACAAAAUGGACUAAUACAAGCCCUCUUUUGCUUCAUGCUUCAAUCAGGCUGAGCCUCUUCUGGUUUCCUAGGUUAGAUUAUGUUCCUAACGAAUCUAGCCAGGAGUAUUGUGUUAGAUUGGGUUCUUCAAGAAGUAGACUUCAAGAAAAGAUUAGGCAUACAAGAGAUUUAUCAGGAGAAAUCCCCAUGAAGGAUAAAGAAGAGGAAAAAAGAGAAGGCAAGGAGAGCUUUCAGAUCAUAAGUGAAUCUAAUAUCUAAUGCUUGUGAAGAAGAGGGGCAAGGAAGGAGAAUUAGAGAAAACAGCCUCACAUGCAGAUUUUUUUUUUUUUUUUUUUUUUUUUUUUUUGAGACAGAGUCUUGCUCUGUCACCCAGGUUGGAGUGCAGUGGCGUGAUCUCUGCUCACUUCAAACUCUGCCUCCUGGGUUCAUGCCAUUCUCCUCUCUCAGCCUCCCAACUAGCUGGGACUACAGGUGUGCGCCACCACGCCCAGCUAAUUUUUUGUAUUUAUUAGUAGAGAUGGAGUUUCACCAUGUUAGCCAGGAUGGUCUCGAUCUCCUGACCACGUGAUCUGCCCACCUUGGCCCCAAAGUGCUUGGAUUACAGGCGUGAGCCACUGCGCCCGGCCUCAGGCAGGAUAAUUUUUUAAAAUUUCAGCAAGGUUGACAGGGAGUCGUUGAGCCAAAGUUGCCCAUUAAAGGAGUCCUUCAUCUUGCAGGAAUGGGCCUGCAUUAGUCUCCCUGCCUUGCUCAGUCACAGACUCAGAGCAUCUCCCAAGAAGGAUGGUCUUGGCAUGAACCCAGGGCUGGGUCCCUGCUAGCAGUGACUGGAGCCAUCAGUCAGUUGUACUCCCUGAAGCAGGAGAUCUGAGCUGUGUAUUAUAAUGGCCACCUCAAAUACAGAAUCUCAGCAGAUAAGACAUUGCCUCAUGGAGAAGGCAUAAAUGGCCUCUCUGCAUACAUUAUGUACCAUGAUGCUCUGUAUCAAUCAGGAUUGCUUUUAGCUGCAAGUAAUAGAACACUUAGUCAAAAGUGGCUCAAAUGAACUGGUACACCUUUUUUCUACCGAAGUUUAGUGAUAAACAGUUGAGGUCCUUGAUUUUGCAGCUCAACCAUGACAAGAUUGCUAUGUAUAAUUCCCUUGGUUUUUCCCUUAUACUUGCCUCUUCAUAGUUGCAUGAUGUCUGUAGCAUCUCUAAAUGUUAUAUCCACACUGAAAGCAGCAAUAAGGGGGAAGCAUGCUGGUAGUAUAGCCACAUCAGUUUCCCUUUAUUGAGAGAUAAAAGUCUUCACAGAAACGCUGUCCUCCUUAGAGUUCUACGUAGAUCUCAUCUGGCAAAUAUGGAUUAUAUGGCCAUGCUCGCUCAAGGAGAGAAUGGGAACACUGGAAUAAAACUGCCAAGUGGGUAUAGAAAAAUCUUCAUCCACUGCCCUGGCUGGGGACAUGACUGUCUUGAAUAAAAUUGUAUGAACAUUAUCAGAAUCAAACUAGAGUUGCUUUUGUUAAAAUAAAAAUAAAACAAACAAAAAAAAGACCAGGAAAGGUGGCUCACACCUGUAAUCCCAGCACUUUGGGAGGCUGAGGUAGGCGGAUCACCUGAGGUCAGGAGUUCAAGACCAGCCUGGCCAACAUGGUGAAACCCUGUCCCGACUAAAAAUACAAAAAUUAGCUGGGCGUGGUGGUGUGCACCUGUAAUCCCAGCUUCCCAGGAAGCUGAGGCAGGAGAAUGACUUGAACCCUAGAGGUGGAGGUUGCAGUAAGCUGAGAUUGCACCGUUGCACUCCAGCCUGGGCAACAAGAGUGAAAAUCCAUCUCAAAAUAAUAAUAAUAAUAAAGCAAAAAAUAAAACAAAGCAAAAAAACCUGAAGGCCAAGGAAGGCCAUGCAUGAAGAGGGGUUUCUCAUGCAUAAAUACCUGAUAACAAAAACUAUUACAAAAGACUGCAAAAACCACAACCUUGCACAAAGCCCAUUGCAAUCUUACACAAAAAAUACUUGUGACAAAAAAAUAUUUCUGUGACUGGAAUGCUUAUUCUGUUUUAUAGAAUGAAGUGUUGCCUCAUAAACAUUUUUCUUUCUUUCUUUUUUUUUUUUUUGAGAUGGCGUCUAGCUCUGUCACGAGGCUGAAGUACAGUGGCAUGAUCUCAGCUCACUGUAAUCUCCACCUCCUGUGUUCAAUUGAUUCUCCUGCCUCAGCUUCCUGAGUAGCUGGGAUUACAGGCACACACCACCACACCCAACUAAUUUUUAUAUUUUUAGUAGAGACAGGGUUUCACCAUGUGGGCCAGGAUGGUCUCGAACUUCUGACCCCAUAAUCCGCCCACCUCGGCCUCCCAAAGUGUUGGGAUUACAGGCAUGAGCCACCGCGCCAGGCCUUUGUUUUAUUUUUCAAUUUGAGAUGGGAUCUCACUCUGUCAUCCAGGCUGUAGUGCAGUGACACAGUCACAGCUCAUUGCAGCCUGGAACUCCUAGGCUCAAGUGAUCCUCCCACCUCAGUCUACUGAACAGCUGGGACUACAAGCAUGUGCCACCAUGCCUGAUUAAUUUUUUAAUUUUUUGUAGAGAUGGGGUUUUGCUUUGUUGCCCAGGCUGGUCUCGAACUCCUGGGCGCAAGUGAUCCUCCUGCUUCAGCCUCUCAAAGUGCUAGGAUUACAGAUGUGAGUCACUUCACCUAGCCAACCAAUAAAAUGUUUCUAUAAAAAGUGAAAAUAUGUAAUAAACAAACAAACAAAAAAUAUUUCUUUGAGGACAUCUGUCCAGCAACUGCCUGUACCUCCUAG
rnacentral:lncRNA from 1 species